rnacentral:rRNA from 1 species
GAAACCCUGAUGCAGCCAUGCCGCGUGUGUGAAGAAGGCCUUCGGGUUGUAAAGCACUUUCAGUGGGGAGGAAGGGGUGAUGCCUAAUACGCAUCAUCAUUGACGUUACCUACAGAAGAAGCACCGGCUAACUCCGUGCCAGCAGCCGCGGUAAUAAU